UAACUCCGACAACGACGGCCCCGACAAUAGCAGGACGACGACACAGUCCUACUUGAGAAUUGUAUAGCAAUUAAAAACAACAACAACUUUGAUACGAAUCUCUAGAACUAUUGGAGACACCUUGUAGCGGAACGAGAUCCAUUCUACGACUGACGC